rnacentral:rRNA from 1 species
AUACGUAGGGGGCGAGCGUUGACCGGAAUGAUUGGGCGUAAAGGGCGCGUAGGCGGCCCGGUAAGUCUGGAGUGACAGUCCUGUUUUUAAGAUGGGAAUUGCUUUGGAUACUGCCGGGCUUGAGUGCAGGAGAGGUAAGUGGAUUUCCCUGUGUCGCGGUGAAACGCGUAGAGAUUGGGAAGAACACCAGUGGCGAAGGCGACUUACUGGACUGUAACUGACGCUGAGGCGAGAAAGUGUGGGGAGCAAACAGGAUUAGAUACCCUGGUAGUCCACACUGUAAACGAUGAAUGCUAGGUGUAGGGGGUAUCGACCCCUUCUGUGCCGCAGUCAACACAAUAAGCAUUCCGCCUGGAGAGUACGGCCGCAAGGUUGAAACUCAAAUGAAUUGACGGGG